GAUGAACGCUGGCGGCGUGCCUAAUACAUGCAAGUCGAGCGAACGGACGAGAAGCUUGCUUCUCUGAUGUUAGCGGCGGACGGGUGAGUAAAACGUGGAUAACCUACCUAUAAGACUGGGAUAACUUCGGGAAACCGGAGCUAAUACCGGAUAAUAUUUUGAACCGCAUGGUUCAAAAGUGAAAGACGGUCUUGCUGUCACUUAUAGAUGGAUCCGCGCUGCAUUAGCUAGUUGGUAAGGUAACGGCUUACCAAGGCAACGAUGCAUAGCCGACCUGAGAGGGUGAUCGGCCACACUGGAACUGAGACACGGUCCAGACUCCUACGGGAGGCAGCAGUAGGGAAUCUUCCGCAAUGGGCGAAAGCCUGACGGAGCAACGCCGCGUGAGUGAUGAAGGUCUUCGGAUCGUAAAACUCUGUUAUUAGGGAAGAACAUUUGUGUAAGUAACUGUGCACAUCUUGACGGUACCUAAUCAGAAAGCCACGGCUAACUACGUG
rnacentral:rRNA from 1 species